rnacentral:tRNA from 1 species
GCCUGGCUGGCUCAGUUGGUAGAGCAUGCGACUCUUGAUCUCUUGUAAGUUCAAGUCCCGCGUCGGGUA